GGAUUUGAGGGCAAUCUUUCUGCAACAUCUGUCACCCCAUUGAUCACCAGGGUUGAUUUUGCUGAAAUGGCUGGCUAGGCAGAUGUCCCUCCCCUUCCUCCCUCACUGGUCCAUGUACAUCCCUCCUGAAAAAGAGUGCUUUGUCAAAGAGGACAGCCUUUCCCAAAUAGAGAUAGAUGGGUCUUUGGUUGAUGGUAUAUCAGUAGCUGUGCUCCCCUUCUAGAACCUGCAAACAAGAUCUCAAGGUCCAUUUGUAGGAGAAUGUAGGGUAGUCAAGCUUCCAAGACUCUAGACACACCUAAAUGAGGCACUGCAUGUGGCAGUCUGCCUUUAAAA
rfam:Erinaceus europaeus unplaced genomic scaffold scaffold00862, whole genome shotgun sequence